CCCGACUGCUAUCGGAAUAGGACUAAGCCAUGCGAGUCGAACGCCCUUUGACCAUGUAAAGGACGUGGCACACGGCUCAGUAACACGUAGUCAACCUGCCCUGGAGCCUUGGAUAACCCCGGGAAACUGGGACUAAUACGAGAUAGGUCAAGAUUUCUGGAAGGGGCCUUGACUGAAACAGCAUCUGGGCAUGUCUAGAUGUCUUCUCUAGGAUGGGACUGCGGCCGAUCAGGUUGUUGGUGGGGUAACGGCCCACCAAGCCGAUUACCGGUACGGGCUUUGGGAGAAGGAGCCCGGAGAUGGACCCUGAGAAAAGGGUCUAGGCCCUACGGGGCGCAGCAGGCGCGAAAUCUUCGCAAUGCGCGAAAGCGCGACGAGGUUAUUCCGAGUGCAAUCUGCUGAAGAUAGCUUUUGUCAGGUGUAAAUAGCCUGAAGAAUAAGGGGAGGGAAAGCCUGGUGUCAGCCGCCGCGGUAAAACCAGCUCCUCGAGUGGUCGGGAUGUUUAUUGGGCCUAAAGCAUCCGUAGCCGGUCCCGUAGGUCUUCUGUUAAAUCCAACGGCUCAACCGUUGGGCUGCGGGAGAUACCACGGGGCUAGGAGGCGGGAGAGGCAGACGGUAUUCCGUGGGUAGGGGUAAAAUCCGUUGAUCCACGGAGGACCACCAGUGGCGAAGGCGGUCUGCUAGAACGCGCUCGACGGUGAGGGAUGAAAGCUGGGGGAGCGAACCGGAUUAGAUACCCGGGUAGUCCCAGCUGUAAACUAUGCGAGCUAGGUGCUGGAGUGGCUGCGUGCUACUCCGGUGUCGCAGGGAAGCCGUUAAGCUCGCCGCCUGGGUAGUACGGUCGCAAGACUGAAACUUAAAGGAAUUGGCGGGGGGGCACCACAAGGGGUGAAGCCUGCGGUUC
rnacentral:rRNA from 1 species